rnacentral:rRNA from 1 species
CUACGGGGGGCUGCAGUGGGGAAUAUUGCGCAAUGGGGGCAACCCUGACGCAGCAAUACCGCGUGAGUGAAGAAGGUUUUCGGAUCGUAAAGCUCUGUUAUUGGGGAAGAAAAAAGACGGUACCCAAGAAGAAAGUCCCGGCUAACUACGUGCCAGCAGCCGCGGUAAUACGUAGGGGACAAGCGUUGUCCGGAUUUACUGGGCGUAAAGGGCACGCAGGCGGUUUUUUAAGUCAGAUGUGAAAGGUACCGGCUCAACCGGUGACAUGCAUUUGAAACUGAAAGACUUGAGUAUUGGAGAGGCAAGUGGAAUUCCUAGUGUAGCGGUGAAAUGCGUAGAUAUUAGGAGGAACACCGGUGGCGAAGGCGGCUUGCUGGACAAAUACUGACGCUGAGGUGCGAAAGCGUGGGGAGCAAACAGGAUUAGAUACCCCGGUAGUC